rnacentral:rRNA from 1 species
UAGGGAAUCUUCGGCAAUGGGGGGAACCCUGACCGAGCAACGCCGCGUGAGUGAAGAAGGUUUUCGGAUCGUAAAGCUCUGUUGUUAAGGAAGAACGAGUGUGAGAAUGGAAAGUUCAUGCUGUGACGGUACUUAACCAGAAAGGGACGGCUAACUACGUGCCAGCAGCCGCGGUAAUACGUAGGUCCCGAGCGUUGUCCGGAUUUAUUGGGCGUAAAGCGAGCGCAGGCGGUUAGAUAAGUCUGAAGUUAAAGGCAGUGGCUCAACCAUUGUAGGCUUUGGAAACUGUUUAACUUGAGUGCAGAAGGGGAGAGUGGAAUUCCAUAUGUAGCGGUGAAAUGCGUAGAUAUAUGGAGGAACACCGGUGGCGAAGGCGGCUCUCUGGUCUGUAACUGACGCUGAGGCUCGAAAGCGUGGGGAGCGAACAGG